CAUGAAGAGGACUCAGUGUAGACGGCGCAGUCGGGUCAGCUCACAGCCUCUUUCCUGCUAGCAGAGCCCUCCUUCGUCUGCCAGGAGGCCCUGAGCACUGGGAAAGAAAGCAUCGAUGACUAUAGAGCUGACACAUGGUCGCCCUCCCCACAAGGACCUCAAAGGACCACCCCAGGCAUCUCCACCCACAGACAACACCGGGCUUGACUGAGGCCGUGUUCCAAGGCCCCUCAGCAUUUCUGCCUCCAGUCAUGUCCCAGAUGAUGGCCAUGGAGCUAGAGGGCCGUCCCACCUCUUCUGAGCCGAUGACUGGGGAAAGCGGUUUCAAGUAGUUUAUGUCCCCGAAUUAGCAGGUGUGGACACAGGCUGACACCUGUCAUUACCUUCCUCCCUAAGGUUCAGCCGUGUGCCUGAUGGUUACUGGCCUCUGUGAUACCACUGCCAUCUGUCCACUCUAAAAUCAGACAGGUAUGACCUUUCACACCGAGACACGCUACGGGCUUAGCUGCAUGGCUGAAGGUCGGCCCCAGGAGUGGGACUGUGAGCACAGGUCCGUGUGACACACACCAGGACCACUGCCCCCUGGUGUAACCAUGUGCUUCCUGAAGCUGCCUGCAUCCCGACCCCGGUGCGGUAACUGGACUGGCCUAAGACACAGCCCGUGAGCUGUCAGCACCCGUGUUUGCAUCCUUACAAUGUCAUGCGAGUCUCAAGAAAGCCCUGAGCUACCUUCCUCCUGCCCUGAAGAUCGCCCAGGUCACCCCUGUGGCAUCGAUGCGUCCACAGGACUGGCGAUGCUUCUCCAACUUCUAUGUUCACAGGAAGCACCUGGGGACCGUGUUGCAGUGAAGAUCUGACUCGGCCCAUGUGUAGUGGGGCAGAGACGAUGCCCCUCUCACAGACUCCUAUGUGGGGCGCGACUUCCGUGAAACAUACUUGGAGAAGCCCCGCAACAGUCCGCUACAGUCCUGCUGGCCGCUAUGCCAUGGGAGCCGGGAGGGAGGUGGGCAGAGCCAGAGCCACGCAUGCCUGCAGGGGUCAGGGAGGCCUCCUUGCAGCUCACAGCCUCCGGAACACUUUCCUCCACCUCCGUACCCGGCUGCCCCAGGCCAGCGAGUUGGGAAGCUGUCUCAAGCACUAUUUAAUUCUCUAGACCUUAUCUGAGCAUCCUUCGUUUUCUUCCUUCUAUUUUCUUUUUCAAGGUCCUGUAAUUCUGAUCUAGUUUUGGUCUGCCUGGGAUUCAAGAAUUAGGAAGGACUAUAAGUGCCUGCGUGAUAAGCUGGCAGAGUAAUAUUCCAAGACAGGAAAAAUGAAUGACUUAUGAAUAAGUAGGAGCCGGGGAAGAAAAUUCAAGUUGGCAACUAAAACUUAGGGCAAGAGAAAUACGAGUGGCUGGAAAGCAGCAGUCGCUUAGGCAUUCACUUCUUUACAGCGGAGUUACAGGCUGAAAUAACAUGAAUUAGAAUAAGAGACAACCACUGUACUCGCUCUGUACCCACAGCAAAUAGAGUCACAAUUCCAAGCUGUGUGACUCUAAGUCACCAUGUUAGAAAGGUCAUGCAGACAGGAGAGAGAGAUGCAAUGCCUACUUUAUACAACACGAAGAACCAGGAAGGACGAAUCAGUUACAACAGUGGGACAGUGAGUGUACUAGGAAAUGUUAUCACUUGAAGAACUUCUAGGAUAAAAUUUA